AGCAUGCCUGUCACGCGUGACCUUCCAGUUUCAUCCCAUCAUGCGCAGGCUUGAUUGACGCGUAGAUAUCCGUUUUCGCAAGUCACGCCUACGCGUGACGCUUCCUGUGACUCCUCAAUACCCUUCUUCUCCUUCCCCAACGUUCACAGCUUCACCUUCCUUCUCCCCUUCCAAAUGCCGAACCACCAUCACAAGCCAGCCUCCUCCCUUCACCCACAACCGCCGACGACUGCCCUAGUCACCGCAAUCCUUUCCACCUUUCUUCCCUACUCUUCUCUUUCCUUCUCCUUCUCUUCUCCUUCCCAGCGCACGUCAGCACCUUCCCUGUCUCAGCCUCCAGUCUAAGCCACCGCGUUCCACUCCCUCUUCUCACCUUCACCGCGACAACUACCGCCGCCGGCCACCACCCCUUUUCCUUCCCCUUCUUCUCCCUCUUCCUCUACCCUUUCUGUCAGCCUCACCUCCACGAUAUGCCAUCACCGCUGCCCAGCUUCCACCGCACCUCCCUUCCCCCUGUCUGAACCCUAGCGCCGCUCGGGUCCACUGAACUUUUGCAAACCACCCCCUCCACACACAAGCUCCAACCCCCUUGCUCUAUUUCCCCUUCCUAUUACCUUCGAACAGCAAGAACAGGGCAAAACCCCUACUUCCAUUUUGCCGCCUUCCCACCACUACCCCUGUUUCACAGCACCGGUCACCGCCACUUCUGCCCCGGCCAGGAUACUCCAGCCACUCUCUCAGCAUCAUCAUUCUUUCCCUUCCCUUCCUCUGUUCCAAUCCCCUACUUCCCAGCACCACCAUCACUCUUGCAGCCACUCUAUCGCCUGACCCACCAGCUGAAGGUGGAGGUGACAUAGUGACAACUCUUUCCACUCUGCCUGAUCGUGAGCACCGAGGACGGUGCUACAUUUUAAGUGUGGGGAGGUUGUCCAACUUCACUAGCACAUUUCUAGUGAAAAAUUUCAUUUCCGAACACUUUUAGUUUAGUUUCUUUUUAUGUUUUUUGUUGUUUUGUAUAUAUUUUAUCUUUUUGAAAACCUUUUUACUUAGUUUAUUUCACUUUCUUAGUUUAUUGCACAUUUUAGUUUUGCUUGUACAUAACCUAGUAUUAUAUUGUAGUGAUGCAUAUUUUUAUAUUUUCUUUUAAUUUUGGCUUUUACAUAUGCUUUUUAGUUUUUAGUUAUGAUUGUGAUUUGGAUGAUGUGAUGAUUGCGCUAAGUUGAUUUCCUAUACACUUGCUAUUUUGGUUUGAUUGAAUUAGGAAUUAAACUUAGGAUUUUUGACCUUUUUCAUCCAAUCACAUUAUAUACAUAUAUAGAAUAAAUGUUAGUCAAUUAAUGAAAUUUCCAAGAAACUUACUUUUUAUAUAGGGCAUUGAAAUUCAAAUUGAAUUGAGUUCAAAAUUUUCAUUGAAACUUGCAUGAUUCAUACAUUGUGUUGAGUUAAAGAACAUACAACUUGUGAGUUUUUGAGCCUUAUUGUGUGGUUACAUUAUUUGACCACUUAUUUCAUCCUUGUGUGUUGCUCUUCUCUAUGAUUGCAAUCUUUAGUUUAUUUAAUUCUAUAUAUCCAUUGUUUAGUGUAUAUUUAUGCAUUUAUGUGAUUGAGGCCAUCACUUCUUUAUAGCUCACUUAACCCAAAUAGCCUACCAUUUUAUUUACCUUUGUUUGCCACUUUGAGCCUAUGAAUGCUCCUUUUUGUUCUUUAUUUUGCCACAUCAUUAACCUUAAGCGAAAAAAUAAUUAAAUGUCCUUUACUUGAAUCUUUGGAUAGCUUAAGUUAGUGAGAGUGUGUGAUGUUUAAGUGUGGGGAAAUGGGAGAACUUUGGUUGAUGAAAAUGUGUUUUAAGCUUAGUGAGAAAUAUUGAAAAUUUGGGUACUUGCUCAUGUAAUAUUAUUGAAAUCAUAUGCAUUGAUGAGUUGGUGUAUAUAUUAUGUUAAAAAAAAGAAGAGAAAAUAAAAAAAAGAAAAGAAAUAAUGAAAAAGGGACAAAAUUACUCCUAUGAGAAAUUCAAUAAGAAUCAAUGCAUAUGUGAUGAAUUAAAUUAAAACGAAUGAGUGUGUGUAUAUGUAAAAGUGAGAUUUUAGGUAGCUAAGUUUGAUAUUAAAAUUGUAUAGGGUAUGUAUGUAUUAGGUGAGAACUUAGGUUAAUCAAAGAUUCAAAUGCAACCUCACUUAGCCAUG